UACAUCCUACGGGGCGCAGCAGUGAGGAAUAUUGGUCAAUGGCCGGAAGGCUGAACCAGCCAAGCCGCGUGAAGGACGAAGGUGCCAAGCAUUGUAAACUUCUUUUGUCAAGGGACAAAAUCAGGCUCGAGAGCCUGACCGAGGGUACUUGAAGAAAAAGCAUCGGCUAACUCCGUGCCAGCAGCCGCGGUAAUACGGAGGAUGCGAGCGUUAUCCGGAUUUAUUGGGUUUAAAGGGUGCGUAGGCGGAAUAUCAAGUCAGCGGUAAAAAUUCGG
rnacentral:rRNA from 1 species